AGAGUUUGAUCCUGGCUCAGGAUGAACGCUGGCGGCGUGCCUAAGAUAUGCAAGUCGAGCGGAAACACUUCGGGUGUCGAGCGGCGGACGGGUGAGUAGCACGUGGAUAUCAACCCCAAACUGAGGGAUAAGCCAUCGAAAGGUGGUCUAAUACCGCAUGUGGCCUUCGGGUUAAAGCUUCGGCGGUUUGGGAAGAGUCCGCGCCCGAUUAGCUUGUUGGUAGAGUAAAAGCCUACCAAGGCGAUGAUCGGUAGCUGGUCUGAGAGGAUGAUCAGCCACACUGGGACUGAGACACGGCCCAGACUUCUACGGAAGGCAGCAAUUAGGAAUCUUGCGCAAUGGGGGAAACCCUGACGCAGCGACGCCGCGUGCAGGAUGAAGACCUUCGGGUUGUAAACUGCUUUUAUAAGUGAAGAUUAUGACGGUAACUUAUGAAUAAGCUUCGGCUAACUCCGUGCCAGCAGCCGCGGUCAGACGGAGGAAGCAAGCGUUAUCCGGAAUUACUGGGCGUAAAGGGUUACGUAGGCGGUUUGUUAAGCAAAACUUGAAAACGCAUAGCUCAACUAUGCGUCGGGGUUUUGAACUGGCAAACUAGAGCACGAGAGAGGUAGCUGGAAUUCCCGGUGUAGGAGUGAAAUCCGUAGAUAUCGGGAGGAACACCAACGGCGUAGGCAGGCUACUGGCUCGUUGCUGACGCUCAGUACGAAAGCAUGGGGAGCGAACGGGAUUAGAUACCCCGGUAGUCCAUGCUGUAAACUAUGGAUGCUAGCUGUAAGAGGUAUCGACCCCUUUUGUGGCAAAGCUAACGCGUUAAGCAUCCCGCCUGAGGAGUACGGCCGCAAGGCUAAAACUCAAAGGAAUUGACGGGGACCCGCACAAGCGGUGGAGCGUGUUGUUUAAUUGGAUAAGCCGAGAACCUUACCAAGGCUUGACAUCCUCCGAAUUUCUCCGAAAGGAGAGAGUGCUUUUAGAACGGAGUGACAGGUGAUGCAUGGCCGUCGUCAGCUCGUGUCGUGAGAUGUUGGGUUAAGUCCCGCAACGAGCGCAACCCUUAUAAUUAGUUGAAUUUUUCUAAUUAGACUGCCUCGGUAACGGGGAGGAAGGAGGGGAUGAUGUCUGGUCCGUAUUUCCCUUACGCCUUGGGCCACAAACACGCUACAAUGGCCGGUACAAUGGGCAGCCAAGUCGCAAGAUGGAGCAAAACCCAUCAAAACCGGUCUCAGUUCGGAUUGCAGGCUGAAAUUCGCCUGCAUGAAGCCGGAAUCGCUAGUAACCGUAGAUCAGAACGCUACGGUGAAUACGUUCUCGGGUCUUGUACACACCGCCCGUCACAUCACGAAAGUCGCCAACACCCAAAGUUCCGUUUUUACGGACCUAAGGUGGGGGAGAUGAUUGGGAUGAAGUCGUAACAAGGUA
rnacentral:rRNA from 1 species